rnacentral:lncRNA from 1 species
GCAGUCCAUGGGGUCACAAAGAGUCAGACACGACUGAGCAGCUGAACAACAACAAAAGGGACCGGAAACAGAGCAAUAGUUGUAGGGACUGGGCUGGGGGAAAUGUUGACUACAAAGUGGACCCAGGGAAUUUUUCGUGGCUGAUAGAACUCUUCCAUAUCUUGAUUGUGGUAGAAGACUGAGCUAAAACCUAGAAUACUAUGCACUAAAAGGGGUGAAUUUUACUGUAUGUAAAUUAUAUAUUAAUAUUUUAAAUGGAAAAAAAAGGAAGUUUGCAGAAACUUGUGAGGCACUGACCAGAACUGAUUAAUCCUACAAGGGAUAUUUUUUUCCCCCAAAUAUGGCCAGUGUCCUUAGAAGCUCCAUCAACUAUUAAUUUCCAGGGCAGAGAAACCUAAACUCAAGACCCUUUGCCUGCAACAGAAAGCAAGCAGGAGUCCGGCUCCCAGGGUGAGAGGUCAGACCAGCUGACCCUCCUGUCUCCCAGCAUUUGCCCACCCCGCUCUUCUGGUUCCUUUGGGUGACUCCUCCCUUUUUUGCCAUGUGACCUGGAGAGCUGUCAAUCAUGAUGACUUUGUACCCCAUCUCACCUCUCACCUCAGGACAAACACGUGAGUCAAGUGACAGAACCAAGCACCUACUCCAGGCCACAGUAAUUGAUUCAGGGAAGGCACAAGACCCAAGCAAGGCCAAACAGCAUCUUCCCAGGGACCACUACACUGAUGUUGGGGGGGAGAUUUUCUUUCUUACUGAAGAUGAGAGAAUUGGGACUAUUUAGGGCCAAGGCUACUGGUAGUCAUUACCUAGAGACAGUAAUCAGUAGAGCCAAGAACUGGGGAGGGCACCAGAACCCUGAUAACAUGCUCUGAGCCUCUGGAUCCCAUCAUGCAUGGAGCAAGAACUGCCCCUAAACCUCCCAGUUACUGAACCAUUCAGUCCCCUUUCCUCGUGACUGGUUUCUCUCUACUUGAGGGUCUUCACUGACACACAGCUAAAUCCUGUCCUGUGGUCGCGCACUGCUGAGUGUUCUGUUAGCAUGAGUUCAGCCAACAGUAAUGGACACCUGCUUUGUGCUGGGUACUGGGGAUGCUGGGCCCGUAAAGACAUGGGUUUUGCCCUGGAGGAACUCACAGUUUCUCAGAGGAGACAGAUAUGUCAGCAAAUGGUAAGUGGUCAGAUAAACAUAAGCUAAUGGGAGGUACUAAUAAGAACCCAGAAACCGAGCACUCACCCUAGCCUAGGGCUUCAAACAAGGCUUCUUGGAAGUGACUCCUGAGCUGAGUCUUGAAGAAUCAUUCAGUGGAAAGAGGGGAGUGUGUGUAUUCGGACAGAGACACGAG